NGGAUUAGCUCAGCUGGGAGAGCACCUGCCUUACAAGCAGGGGGUCGGCGGUUCGAUCCCGUCAUCCUCCACCA
rnacentral:tRNA from 1 species